rnacentral:rRNA from 1 species
CCUACGGGAGGCUGCAGUGGGGAAUAUUGCACAAUGGGGGAAAGCCUGAUGCAGCGACGCCGCGUGAGCGAUGAAGUAUUUCGGUAUGUAAAGCUCUAUCAGCAGGGAAGAAAAUGACGGUACGUGACUAAGAAGCACCGGCUAACUACGGGCCAGCAGCCGCGGUAAUACUUCGGGGGCACGCGUUAUCCGGAUGUACUGGGUGUAAAGGGAGCGUAGACGGCUGUGCAAGCCAGAUGUGAAAGCGCGGGGGUCAACCACGGGACUGCAUUUGAAACUGGGUGGCUGGAGUGUCGGAGAGGUAGGCGGAAUGCCUGGUGUAGCGGUGAAAUGCGUAGAUAUUAGGAGGAACACCAGUGGCGAAGGCGGCCUGCUGGACGAUGACUGACGCUGAGGCUCGAAAGCGUGGGGAGCAAACAGGAUUAGAUACCCCGGUAGUC